UCACCCCUCAAGCCCCGUGCUUGGUGUUGGACGGCCUGGUCAGGGAUCUGACCCCUCCUAAAGACAAUGACGGCGGCCCGUGGGACCCCCGGUACACUGAGCUUUUAACUGAGCACGUAUCGGAUCAAGGGUGCCCGGGCCCCGGUCCUCUCCUUUCACGGAAAGGAAACUUAUCAA
rnacentral:misc_RNA from 1 species